AAUACGAGAUGCUACGGCGUCGUAGCAGUCUAUGUCAUACUUCCAAGAAAAGCUUGCACUGUCAUAAACAAAUAAUGCCUGUACCAUAACCGACACAGGUGGGUAGGUAGAGUAUACUAAGGGGCGCGAGAUAACUCUCUCUAAGGAACUCGGCAAAAUGACUCCGUAACUUCGGGAGAAGGAGUGCCUUAUUUAUAAGGUUGCAAUAACAAGAUCCAAGCAACUGUUUACCAAAAACACAGGUCUCCGCUAAGUCGUAAGACGAUGUAUGGGGGCUGACGCCUGCCCAGUGCCAGAAGGUUAAAGAAGUUGGUUAGCAUCCGCGAAGCUGAUAACUGAAGCCCUGGUGAACGGCGGCCGUAACUAUAACGGUCCUAAGGUAGCGAAAUUCCUUGUCGGGUAAGUUCCGACCCGCACUAAAGGCGUAAUGAUUUGGAUACUGUCUCGGAGAGGGGCUCGGUGAAAUAGACUUGUCUGUGAAGAUGCGGACUACCUGCACCAGGACAGAAAGACCCUAUGAAGCUUUACUGUAACCUGAAAUUGAAAUUGGACUUUACUUGCGCAGUAUAGGUGGGAGGCGUUGAGAAUAUUCUUGCGGGAUUAUUGGAGCCAUCAGUGAGAUACCACUCUUGUAAUGUUAGAUUUCUAACUUUGUAUCAUUAUCUGGUCAAAGAACAGUUUCAGGCGGGCAGUUUGACUGGGGCGGUCGCCUCCUAAACGGUAACGGAGGCGCACAAAGGUUUCCUCUGAACGGGUAGAAAUCGUAUCUAGAGUGUAAAGGCAUAAGGAAGCUUGACUGUGAGACCUACAAGUCGAGCAGGGACGAAAGUCGGUCUUAGUGAUCUGACGGUGCUGAGUGGAAAGGCCGUCACUCAACGGAUAAAAGUUACUCUAAGGAUAACAGGCUGAUCUCCCCCAAGAGUUCACAUCGACGGGGAGGUUUGGCACCUCGAUGUCGGCUCAUCGCAUCCUGGGGCGGUAGUACGUCCCAAGGGUUGGGCUGUUCGCCCAUGAAAGCGGUACGCGAGCUGGGUUCAGAACGUCGUGAGACAGUUCGGUCCAUAUCCGGUGUAGGCGUUAGAAUAUUGAGAGGAGCCUUCUUUAGUACGAGAGGACCGAGAAGGACAUACCUCUGGUGUACCAGUUAUCGUGCCAACGGUAAACGCUGGGUAGCUAUGUGUGGAGUGGAUAACCGCUGAAAGCAUCUAAGUGGGAAGCCCACCUCAAGAUAAGUAUUCUCA
rnacentral:rRNA from 1 species